UACGUAGGGUGCAAGCGUUAAUCGGAAUUACUGGGCGUAAAGCGUGCGCAGGUGGUUCGCCAAGUCAGGUGUGAAAUCCCCGGGCUUAACCUGGGAAUUGCGCUUGAAACUAGCGGGCUUGAGUGUGGCAGAGGGGGGUGGAAUUCCACGUGUAGCAGUGAAAUGCGUAGAGAUGUGGAGGAACACCGAUGGCGAAGGCAGCCCCCUGGGUCAACACUGGCGCUCAUGCACGAAAGCGUGGGGAGCAAACAGG
rnacentral:rRNA from 1 species